AUUGAACGCUGGCGGCAGGCUUAACACAUGCAAGUCGAGCGAGCGGCGGACGGGUGAGUAAUGUAUGGGAAACUGCCUGAUGGAGGGGGAUAACUACUGGAAACGGUAGCUAAUACCGCAUACCAUCAGAUGUACCCAGAUGGGAUUAGCUAGUAGGUGGGGUAAUGGCUCACCUAGGCGACGAUCCCUAGCUGGUCUGAGAGGAUGAUCAGCCACACUGGAACUGAGACACGGACCAGACUCCGACGGGAGGAAGCAGUGGGGAAUAUUGCGCAAUGGGCGCAAGCCGGAUGCAGCCAUGCCGCGUGUGUGAAGAAGGCCUUAGGGUUGUAAAGCACUGUCAUCGAGGAGGCGUUACUCGCAGAAGAAGCACCGGCUAACUCCGUGCCAGCCGCCGCGGUAAUUC
rnacentral:rRNA from 1 species